rnacentral:rRNA from 1 species
CGGAGAGUUUGAUCCUGGCUCAGAUUGAACGCUGGCGGCAUGCCUUACACAUGCAAGUCGAACGGCAGCACGGAGCUUGCUCUGGUGGCGAGUGGCGAACGGGUGAGUAAUAUAUCGGAACGUACCCUGGAGUGGGGGAUAACGUAGCGAAAGUUACGCUAAUACCGCAUACGAUCUACGGAUGAAAGUGGGGGAUCGCAAGACCUCAUGCUCGUGGAGCGGCCGAUAUCUGAUUAGCUAGUUGGUAGGGUAAAAGCCUACCAAGGCAUCGAUCAGUAGCUGGUCCGAGAGGACGACCAGCCACACUGGAACUGAGACACGGUCCAGACUCCUACGGGAGGCAGCAGUGGGGAAUUUUGGACAAUGGGCGAAAGCCUGAUCCAGCAAUGCCGCGUGAGUGAAGAAGGCCUUCGGGUUGUAAAGCUCUUUUGUCAGGGAAGAAACGGUGAGGGCUAAUAUCUCUUGCUAAUGACGGUACCUGAAGAAUAAGCACCGGCUAACUACGUGCCAGCAGCCGCGGUAAUACGUAGGGUGCAAGCGUUAAUCGGAAUUACUGGGCGUAAAGCGUGCGCAGGCGGUUUUGUAAGUCUGAUGUGAAAUCCCCGGGCUCAACCUGGGAAUUGCAUUGGAGACUGCAAGGCU